UACGUAGGGUGCAAGCGUUGUCCGGAAUUAUUGGGCGUAAAGAGCUCGUAGGCGGUUUGUCGCGUCUGCUGUGAAAACUCGGGGCUUAACCCCGGGCCUGCAGUGGGUACGGGCAGACUAGAGUGCGGUAGGGGAGACUGGAAUUCCUGGUGUAGCGGUGAAAUGCGCAGAUAUCAGGAGGAACACCAGUGGCGAAGGCGGGUCUCUGGGCCGUAACUGACGCUGAGGAGCGAAAGCGUGGGGAGCGAACAGG
rnacentral:rRNA from 1 species